rnacentral:lncRNA from 1 species
GAGAAGAAGAGAGACAGAGAGAGAUUGAAAGAGAGAUUGAAGAAGAAAUAUGUAAACAGAAGCAAAUAGAGAUGGAAGAGAUAGAACGAGAAAGGGAGAAAGAGAGACAGAGCGAGAUCAAAAGGAAGAGAAUGGAGAAGAGACAGAAAAUUAUGGAAAGAGAAGAAGAGAGACCGAGAGAGAUUGAAAGAGAGAUUGAAGAAGAAAGAUGUAAACAGAAGCAAAUAGAGAUGGAAGAGGAAGAAAGAGAAGAAGAGAGACAGAGAGAGAUUGAAGAAGAAAGAUGUAAACAGAAGCAAAUAGAGAUGGAAGAGAUAGAACGAGAAAGGGAGAAAGAGAGACAGAGCGAGAUCAAAAGGAAGAGAAUGGAGAAGAGACAGAAAAUUAUGGAAAGAGAAGAAGAGAGACAGAGAGAGAUUGAAGAAGAAAGAUGUAAACAGAAGCAAAUAGAGAUGGAAGAGGAAGAAAGAGAAAGGGAGAAAGAGAGACAGAGCGAGAUCAAAAGGAAGAGAAUGGAGAAGAGACAGAAAAUAAUGAAAAGAGAAGAAGAGAGACAGAGAGAGAUUGAAAGAGAGAUUGAAGAAGAAAGAUGUAAACAGAAGCAAAUAGAGAUGGAAGAGGAAGAAAGAGAGAGGGAGAAAGAGAGACAGAGACAGAUUGAAAGAGAGAUUGAAGAAGAAAGAAGUAAACAGAAGCAAAUAGAGAUGGAAGAGGAAGAAAGAGAAGAAGAGAGACAGAGAGAGAUGGGUGAGAAAGAGAGACAACAACAACAAGAGGAGAGACAGAAACAAAAGGAGAAGGAGAAAGAAAGGGAGAAAGACAAUGAGAAUCAGAGAGAGAUGGAAUUAAGAGAUCAGCAACAGAAAGAGAUUGAGAGAGAAAAGAUGAUUAUGAGAGAAAGGGAGGAAGCAGGAAGAAGAAAGGAGGGGCAGAAAAAUAUUUUGGGGGAAGUUGAGGGACAGAAUGAACUGGAGAUAGAACAGGAGAGAGAGAUGGAAGAAAAGCAGGAAGUGAUUAAGGAAGCAGAGGAAGAGUACAGGGAAAGAGAAGAGAGAGGAAAGGAAGUAAGCAUGAAGAAACAUGUAGUAGUUAAUGUUAAAGCAAAAGCACGGGAAGUCUUCAAUAGGCGUAAAGAGAGGAGGUUAGAAGUGUUGAAGGGGGAACGAGAACACAUAGAAAGAGGACAACAAAUCAGGAGGGAGAAGGAGGAAAGACGGCUGGAGAUGGAAAGAAAACAGGAGAGGGCAAGACAACAAGAGGAGCAGGAUAGAAAACAAGAGAUUGAAAUUGCUAGACAGAAAGAAAUGUUGAGACUAAGAGAGGAGGAGAGGCAGAGAGAGGAUGAGAGAGAGGAGCAGAGAAAGAGAGCCAUUGAAGGCCAUUUAGCUUUAAUCAGAGAGAGAGAAAAUAUAAUACAGGCAAAAAAAAGAGAGGAGAUGGUGGAAGAUGAAAGAAGGAAGAUCCUUGAGUACAAGAGGGGUGAGUUAGAGGAGGAGGAGAAGGAAGAUGACAAGGAGGACAUUCUCCCACCUGAUAAUAGUAUCCGAAGGAGAGCUGUGGGCUGGGUGAACAAGAAGUGGGAGAAGAGGAACCUCAAAAAGAUAGAGAGAACCUGUCAGAGAGAAGCUGAGGAGGGCCAUAAGAUCGUCCACAUAGAACCAGCAGGAGGGGCCAGAGAACCAACAGGGGGGGCCAGACAGCCAGCAUCUAGAAGCUCCAGAAGAGGUUGAAACAUCAGAGCCAACUUCCAAGAACAAGAAAAAGCCAAGCAUCUGGAAGAAAAUUAGGAUGGGGUAAAGAAUGUUUAAACAUCUAUUCAUGUUUUACACUGUUAAUAUAUACAUGUUAUCACUUUAAAAAGUGACAUUAUCCAAAUGUGAGGGUUUAGUGUACAUGCAACACACAUGUAAAUAUAUAGAUACUUACCUGUCUCUGUGAUGUCUUACAGCCUUCCUGAUGUGCUGUCUGCCUAGAGCUGGAACUCGAUGAAGCCACAGUUCCACUGAGGUUACGUUGGUAAUUAAAAGUGUCGCCCAAUAAUUCCUCCUCCUCUUUACGUCAUCAAGCCACAUUUCCUCCUCAAAACAUUAUAGUCUCCUCAAGCCAGCAAGUAUCCUCUUUAUCAGGCAACAAACCAUCGAAGGUCAGUGACCCUCCUCCCCAGAGCAGAGACUCUCAUCUUUAUCCUAGUUAAAUUAAUCUCUGAUCACCACCUCUACAGUCCUAGAAAAUAUCCCCAAAAUGGAAAUGGUUUCAACAGAAGUCCUCCCCUCAGACCAGUGGCUCCACAGACCAGAGUUUCUCAUCUUUAUUCAAGUUGAAUGCAACUCUGAUCAUUUCCACCACCUCUCCUGUUAAGGGGAGGUGCUGAAAAGGAGGUCUGGGAGGAGGUCUGCAGGUAGCCUGGACCGGACCGGUAGCAGCUAAGUUGCUGGCUCCAUCCCCGGGCAGAGCUGCUCAAGUCAGGCCACUGAUGUUUGAUGAUGUCAUUUUUGUUAUCAAAUUUAUUAAAAAACAAUAUUGUUGUUACGGUGUGGAUUGUUUUGUUAUUUAUUAGAAUUGAAACAUCCAGUAGUCAUGGUAGAUGUUAGACUUUCAAUGAGACACCUAACAUUCCAUCAGUUUGAUACAAUGUGUGACAUGUUAUACUAGUGAGGAGUCCUCUAUACACAUCUAUUUUAGACCAUAGGAGAAAUAUCAGAUUGAAAUAGCUUCUCUAAGAAUCUGAGGAGAGAGCAACAGUAGACGCAUCGUUAGCUCUCCCACCUCCAGUUCAGUACUCGGGUCAUUCCACCUUUUGGGGAGUGUAACUUUUAUUUCUCCUAAUUCUAACAUUCUGUCAUAAAGAGCACAUGUUCAACUUAAUAUAAAACAUGUUUCCCUUCUCAAGAGUAACAAAUACAUACUAUAGCAAGUGCUUGUGUGGAAUUGUUUGUUGUAAGUGCACGUUUGACUGGUGCACAACGGGUUAUUUUGUACCCACAUUUUGUUGUUCUGGAUGCCGUUUGUUUUGUUAAAUAAACUGCUCCGGUUAUUACCCAGUUCUGCUCUCCUGCGCCUGACUUCCCUGCCGCCAGUUACGCACCCCUUACAGAAUUCCACAACAACUAUAUGGAGUCAGCAGUAGCAGGUGCCCUUGGUAUAGGGGUCGAGGACCGCGUCCGGGAGCACGCAGCGAUGCUCCACCAUCUUGGCGCUGCCAUGGACCGCGUCGUCCAAACCCUCCAGCACCUCCACCAGCACAACAGGGGCCUCCACUGGCCCCUGGAGCGGGAUGGAACGACAGGGCCCUGAUCGACCACUAUCGCUGCAGUUUGCGCGAGGAUGUCUGUCGGGAGCUGGCCUUCACCCUCACCUUCAAUCAGCUGGUGGACCUGUCCAUUCGGCUGGAUAACCUGCUGGCUACCCGCGGACAUCCAGAUCGGGGUCUGUCAGUUCCAUCCCCCAGCACCACCGCUCCGAUGCCCAUGGUGCUGGGAGGUGCUGCGUUUAGGGAGACCGGAGGAGGUUCCAUCUCGUGCACCAUCUGUGGCCGAAGAGGUCACACGUCUUCCGGCACUACGGGGUGCCUGAGGAUAUAGUGUCUGAUCGGGGUCCUCAGUUCACUUCGAGGGUCUGGAGGGCGUUCAUGGAACGUCUGGGGGUGUCGAUCAGACUUACCUCAGGUUUUCACCCCGAGAGUAAUGGGCAGGUGGAGAGAGUUAACCAGGAUGUGGGUAGGUUUCUGAGGUCUUAUUGCCAGGACCGGCCGGAGGAGUGGGCUGCGUUCGUGCCCUGGGCAAAGAUGGCCCAGAACUCGCUCCGCCACUCCUCCACUAACCUCUCCCCAUUCCAGUGAGUACUGGGAUUCCAGACGGUUUUGGCACCUUGGCAUCAGAGUCAGAUCGAGGCUCUUGCGGUGGACGACUGGUUCAGGCGCGUGGAGGAGACAUGGGAAGCAGCUCAUGUUCACCUCCAGCGGGCCGUGCUGCGCAGGAAAGCCAGCGCAGACCAUCACCACGGUGAGGGCCCGGUUUUCGCACCGGGGGACCGGGGUCUGGCUCUCUACCCAAAACCUGCCCCUCCGCCUGCCGGAAGCUGGGGCCACUUAAAAUCCUGAGGAGACUGAACAAGGUUAGUUACAGGUUAUAGCUUCCCCC